CAGAUGUCUCAGUAUUCAGAUGUUUAGAUAUUCAGGUGUUCUGGUAUUUAGAUGAAAUACCAGAACACCUGAAUAUCUAAACAUCUGAAUACUGAGACAUCUG
rnacentral:pre_miRNA from 1 species